GGAGGGAUGGCAGAGUGGUAAUGCAGCGGAUUGCUAAUCCGUGACCGUGUUAAAGCGGUCCCGGGGUUCGAGUCCCCGUCCCUCCGCCA
rnacentral:tRNA from 1 species